rnacentral:rRNA from 1 species
UACAGAGGGGGCAAGCGUUGUUCGGAAUUACUGGGCGUAAAGGGCGCGUAGGCGGCCUUCUAAGUCGAACGUGAAAUCCCCGGGCUCAACCCGGGAACUGCGUCCGAUACUGGGAGGCUUGAAUCCGGGAGAGGGAUGUGGAAUUCCAGGUGUAGCGGUGAAAUGCGUAGAUAUCUGGAGGAACACCGGUGGCGAAGGCGGCAUCCUGGACCGGUAUUGACGCUGAGGCGCGAAAGCUAGGGGAGCAAACGGG